UGGUGGUGGAUAUGGUGGAGGAGGCGGAGGUCUUUUCUUUGGUGGUGGAGGCGGCAAAGGCAAAGGUGGCGGCUACGAUGGCGGGAAGCUCCUGCUGGUACGCGUCAAGAAAGUUGGCGGGAAGAAGGGCGGAGGUAAAAAAGGUGGUGGAGGCUUCAAGCAGGGCGGCAAGAAAGGAGGCUAUGGCGGCGGCGGCGGCGGCGGUGGUGGCUACAGUGGCAGCUGGUAAAAUUGCUAAGAGAACAAAACAAAACACAAAACAAUCGAAACAGAAACAAACGAAAUUCAUGUUUUCCAAUAAAGACAAGUUUUA
rnacentral:lncRNA from 1 species